rnacentral:rRNA from 1 species
AGAGUUUGAUCCUGGCUCAGGAUGAACGCUGGCGGCGUGCUUAACACAUGCAAGUCGAACGAUGAUCUCCAGCUUGCUGGGGGGAUUAGUGGCGAACGGGUGAGUAACACGUGAGUAACCUGCCCUUAACUCUGGGAUAAGCCUGGGAAACUGGGUCUAAUACCGGAUAUGACUCCUCAUCGCAUGGUGGGGGGUGGAAAGCUUUUGUGGUUUUGGAUGGACUCGCGGCCUAUCAGCUUGUUGGUGAGGUAAUGGCUCACCAAGGCGACGACGGGUAGCCGGCCUGAGAGGGUGACCGGCCACACUGGGACUGAGACACGGCCCAGACUCCUACGGGAGGCAGCAGUGGGAAUAUUGCACAAUGGGCGCAAGCCUGAUGCAGCGACGCCGCGUGAGGGAUGACGGCCUUCGGGUUGUAAACCUCUUUCAGUAGGGAAGAAGCGAAAGUGACGGUACCUGCAGAAGAAGCGCCGGCUAACUACGUGCCAGCAGCCGCGGUAAUACGUAGGGCGCAAGCGUUAUCCGGAAUUAUUGGGCGUAAAGAGCUCGUAGGCGGUUUGUCGCGUCUGCCGUGAAAGUCCGGGGCUCAACUCCGGAUCUGCGGUGGGUACGGGCAGACUAGAGUGAUGUAGGGGAGACUGGAAUUCCUGGUGUAGCGGUGAAAUGCGCAGAUAUCAGGAGGAACACCGAUGGCGAAGGCAGGUCUCUGGGCAUUAACUGACGCUGAGGAGCGAAAGCAUGGGGAGCGAACAGGAUUAGAUACCCUGGUAGUCCAUGCCGUAAACGUUGGGCACUAGGUGUGGGGGACAUUCCACGUUUUCCGCGCCGUAGCUAACGCAUUAAGUGCCCCGCCUGGGGAGUACGGCCGCAAGGCUAAAACUCAAAUGAAUUGACGG